AUACGGAGGAUGCGAGCGUUAUCCGGAUUUAUUGGGUUUAAAGGGAGCGUAGGCGGGAGCUUAAGUCAGCGGUUAAAUGGUGCGGCUCAACCGUGCCCUGCCGUUGAAACUGGGUUUCUUGAGAGUGCAAGAGGCGGAUGGAAUUCAUGGUGUAGCGGUGAAAUGCUUAGAUAUCAUGAAGAACUCCGAUUGCGAAGGCAGUCCGCUGGGGCACGUCUGACGCUGAUGCUCGAAGGUGCGGGAAUCAAACAGGAUUAGAUACCCUGGUAGUCCGCACGGUAAACGAUGAUUACCCGCUGUCGGCGGCAGACAGUCGGCGGCCAAGCGAAAGCGAUAAGUAAUCCACCUGGGGAGUACGGUCGCAAGGCUGAAACUCAAAUGAAUUGGCGGGG
rnacentral:rRNA from 1 species